rnacentral:rRNA from 1 species
AAUCAACGCUGGCGGCGUGCCUCAGACAUGCAAGUCGAACGACUAAAGCUCUCUUCGGAGAGUGUAUAGAGUGGCGCACGGGUGAGUAACACGUAAGUAAUCUACCCUCGAGUGGGGAAUAACAACCGGAAACGGUUGCUAAUACCGCAUAAUGCAGCGGCACCGCAAGGUGACAGUUGUUAAAGAUUUAUCGCUUGAGGAGGAGCUUGCGGCAGAUUAGCUAGUUGGUAGGGUAACGGCUUACCAAGGCUACGAUCUGUAACCGGUCUAAGAGGACGGUCGGUCACACUGACACUGAAUAACGGGUCAGACUCCUACGGGAGGCAGCAGUCGGGAAUUUUGGGCAAUGGGCGAAAGCCUGACCCAGCAACGCCGCGUGAAGGAUGAAGUAUUUCGGUAUGUAAACUUCGAAAGAAUAGGAAGAAUUAAUGACGGUACUAUUUAUAAGGUCCGGCUAACUACGUG